UUGGGUUCUCCAGUAGUGGCUUCUUCUGGGUACUCUUUUCACUCUCCACCUCUGCGGGACAGAAAUGUCUGCAGGAGAAGUAUACCAGGCUGAUGACCAUCUGGAACAAAUUACAUUUGAUAGAGCUGAAAAAAGGAAAAAAAACAAAAAUAUCAGUACGAUAUUUUUUUGGAUCAGCGCUAAAGUAGGAGGAUAAACAAUUUGGGAACCAAGGAUGGUAACCUACAGACCACUACGGAAGUGAUUGAAAGAUGCAAACAAUUAUUCAUCAUUAAAAAAAUUCCUAUUUGCUAC